UCGUUGCGGAUGGCCAGCUGGAGGUGA
rnacentral:piRNA from 1 species